rnacentral:tRNA from 1 species
GGUUCUAUGGUGUGAUGGUUGGCACUCUGGACUCUGAAUCCAGUGAUCUGAGUUCAAAUCUUGGUGGAAUCU